rnacentral:rRNA from 1 species
AACGUAGGUUCCGAGCGUUAUCCGGAUUUACUGGGCGUAAAGCGCGUUCAGGCGGUUUGGCAAGUCGGGCAUGAAAUCCUUCGGCUCAACCGGGGGAGGUUGUCCGAUACUGCUGAACUGGAGGGCAGUAGAGGGUGGUGGAAUUCCGGGUGUAGUGGUGAAAUGCGUAGAGAUGUGGAGGAACACCAAUGGCGAAGGCAGCCUUCUGGGCCAACACUGACGCUCAUGCACGAAAGCGUGGGGAGCAAACAGG